rnacentral:lncRNA from 1 species
AACACAAAUCUUAGAAGCACCUUUGUGGCAGCUAUGGAAAUUCUCAAGAGCAAGGGCUUUGUAAUCAACCUCUGGGAGGUUCUGUUUUACAAACUACACUGUUGUUGGCUGUUAGGCGAUCAGUCCUCAGUGUUUUUUUGCUCUGACAACACUUUGAAUUACAUUGUCAGGCAGAUACAACAGCUCAGGAAUCACAAAAAACAAUCCCUGAAGAGUUUUGAAUUCUAGAUUGGGAUUGUCUGAAGAAGACAGGACUUACUGAAAAUGUCUAAACUCUUUGUCUGUGGCCUCAGAACUUCAUCAUCCACUGUAAACUCCACUGGUCCCACAGAUCUUGUACUCUGAUCACUCCAGAUGCUUAAAAUCCCCCAAAUAUAUUUGGACUUUUCCUCCUUUCUUGUCUUUGCUCAUGCUCUGCUCAAGUAAGAAAGGUCCUCCAAGCUUGAUCCUCAUUUGAAACCCAGUACCUCUUUCAGUAGUGAAUUAAAAGCUGCCUCCUACAGUAGGCAGUUAAUUUGCUUAAUGUCCCCAUAAGGGGCAACCCAGUGAGGCAUGAAAUCCCACUGUCAUGCACAUUCUUGCCUCUCAGCAAUGGCCUGUCUACCAGCUGAUUAGAAACCAGUUGGGUUUCUUCUUAAAUCCAGAGACUGUGGUCAAACAGUACCGAACACCAGACCACAAAGGUCCAGUCAAACUGAGGCUAGCAACACUCAGAACCAAGUGAAAGUAGAGGAAAUCAGUAGAAACAGAGAGGGAACUAAGGGAAACACAGAUAAAAGGGACUGGAGGUUGCUUCUGCCACGGUUCAUCUGCCUCAGACCCCAUUUCCUAUGAAGCCUGUGGUGGAGUUUCAUUUCAUGUUAUCUUCACAUUCUUUCAACAAUCCCUUUUUACCUGAGUUAGCUUGAGUAGUCUCUUCUGGAAAACAAAAGAGCCUUACUUCUAGAUCAGGUUUCUCUGCUCACUACUAAAGAUUUAAAAUCUUCCUGGUUGGCAUUCACUAAUGCUUUUUAUUUACAAUUCAAUUGUGGCCCUAUCCCACCUUCAAUUAAUGUCAGUUAAGCAUAUAUGUUUCUCCUAAGUUUUCUUUCAGACCAAAUUCAUUCAUCUUUCUCUCCUUUCGCAGCCAGUAUCUGGUACAUACUACAUUUUUAACAAAUGUUUAUUAAACUAGGUAAUGAUUAGUGAUGUCAAUAAUCAUACUAUCAACUGGGCCUUGUGAAACUAGUUACUGACAUACCAUAAAAGGUGUUACCUCCACUACCACCCAUACUCAGGGUGUCUGCUCCUGAAAGGUGACAGAGAAGAAAAGGGAAGCAGAGAUGUUUAGCUGCCCAUCCCACAUGUACAGUGCACCCUUUUUCAAUAUAUAGUUGUUGCCAUUAAAUGACUUCCAAGCCAGAACUGUAUUCCCUAGCCCUCUUUACAUGGUUAAUGUAUAGUCCUUCCCCAGAGAAUGUGAGCAGAAGUGAUGGAAGCCUCUUUCGGACCAAAGUGGUUAAUAAGUGAUAGCAAGAACCAUACAUCACGGAAGGAAGGAGUCUGGGUCCCUGAAUAAUCCCACAGAGUCUGCUGACCAGAAAACCUUUCAAAAAACUGUGACAGGAACAAGAAAUAAAUUUUACUGGGCUAAAAAAACUGGGAUUUCAGGCUCUAUCUGUUAUAGCAACUGUUGUAAAUAAGACAACAAAGAACAGUACUGCCGCAUUUUCUCUUUACAGUUGGAGUAUUCCAUUUCUUCUAGUCUUUUGUUGUAUCUUAUGGUAUCGAUUAGACUAACUGAUUGACAAGUCAUCAUCACCAUUUUUUAACCUUUAGUAGUUAAACUUUUUUGCUUCAUGUUACUGUAUUAUAUUUUCUUGAUGUUUACCAGGACAUCUUAAAGGGAAGAGGGUGAGUGAAGAGUAAGAUAUGAAGCCAAUAAUACCACUGAACUUGAUUCAACUCAUGGGGGCCUUCAGUGGCAUGCGAACACUGAAGGUUACCUCACUCAGGUGUUCUAGAAUACUAACAGUUUCUGGAUGUUAGUCUGAUGAAAACAAAACUUCAUCUCAUGAAAUAUGCAAUCUACAUCCUUGUUUCAUCAAGCAGAAUGUACAUAUUGGUCUUUUUUAAAAAGUCAUUAAUGUGCUGAUUUUGAUUCAGCCAAAGAGGCCUCCCUUUAGGGAGUUUCAGCCUGAACUUCAUAUGCAGAGCCAUCCUACAAUAUGUCAUCAAAAACAAUUUAUAAAAUUGUGGUUUUAAGACAAAUGGCAUAGCUUGGUAAUAUAAGUAGUGUGUAGUAGUGCCCUUGUCAUGGUGAAAUUCCUUUCUGUGAAAUUUAAACCUUUGAAUGAUGAUUAAGGGUACUGGAGAGAAGCAUGCUUUGGAUAAACUCCCAAGUUCAUCAGAUGCCUGACAUGCAUUGGCAUGUGUCUGGAUCCCACAGAUCAUUAGGAACAGAGUGUGCUUUGGUUCAGGGCCCUUAUUUGGUUUAUAGUUAAUCCGUAAAGAAUGGCCCUUAGCAUAUGAAUCUAAGGAAACUCAUUCAUGGACAUGUCACCCCAAAAUAUGCCUCAAUUUGACCCAAAGCAAUGAUUUUAAGCAUUGAGUAGGCUUAGCUUCUUGGAUGAAGGCUAUUUUCAAAUUUUCCCUGGCAAUACUUGAGUAUGGUAAUCAUAAUUAACAUUUAGUAGGCUAUAACUAUAUAACAGACUUUGUAUUAAGCACUUCAUAUUCAUUAUUUCUUUAAUCCUCCCAGUAACUGUUUAAAGGUGAUUUGUAUCAGUCCUACUUCAGAGCUGAGAAAGGCAAGCCUUACAGAGAUAAAUAACUUGUCCAAGUUCACAGUGUUAUAUCUGGACCAGAACUGCAGACUGAAACCAAAGUUUUCCAAAUCUAGUCCUUAUACUGUUUAUUUUAAAAAGUAACAUUUUAUUACUAUGUAAGCAGUAUCUAUAUGGUGUAAAAAAAUAUUAAUACCAAGCAAUAUGAAAAGAUUAAAAUUUCUACUAUUUAAAAAUCAUUAUAACACUUAUAGCAAAUACUUCCAAUCCCAUUCUAUAUGCAUAUAUUUUCAUCAAAAUGAGAUUAUACUGUCAUCUAGUUCAAAAAUCUGAUUUUGUCUCAAUAAGCAUUUCAGUAAAUUUUCUUCCUCUCUAACUCUGAGACCAUAUUCAGUGUUUCCCAAUGACUCGACAAUGCUCUUUAUAGAUGAUUUGUUUAAAUGAAUAUCCAAUCCAGAACCACAUACUGGACCUUUUUGUAUGUCUCAAGAUUCUUUAAAUGUAGCACGGUCAUUUAAAAAAAAAAAAAGACAUUAAUUUGUUGAAGAGACUAGGACAGUUGUCCAAUGCCCCAUCUUCUGGAAUUACCUCAUGGUGUCCUUUAGCUUGUACCUUUAUCCCUUGUUAGGGGAUAACAAGAUCAGAGAUAGUAACAAGAGUUGGAAUUUCAACCCAGGACCAAUUAGGGAUGUAUCUUCAGAUAAAAUACUUAAUUUCAUUGAUCCCCAGUUUUCUACCUAAUACAAAACUCAAACGCAACAAAAUAUUAGCUAACAUUAGAGAACAACCACACCAGGGUAGUACACAGUAAAUCAUAAUUUGUUUUUAAAUCGGUGACAUUUGAUGACUGAUUUGUUGUGGGUAGAAAGAGGGCCUCCCAUCAAUAUUGACCCUUACAAUAAUCUGAUUUCUUAUUUUUUAAGUUAAUUCCACAAUAUUGGAAUAUAUAGAACUAUAUUUAAAAUUUUAAAACAAAUAGAUUUAAAGAAAAUCAGGAAUACUGAGCACCUAUUGGAUUGCUGCCCAUCCCUCUUCUCUAGUAUCUGUCUGCCCCAUUCAUGGAUUGAGAUCCCCAGCAGGCCUGCCUACACCACACAGACCUGACCAUAGCUGGUUUGCUGAAGAGCAGAUUCCCAAGCAAUCAGAUUCUCUCUCUUGAGAGUGUGAAAUUGGAACUGAGCAAUUCCAGGCUAGUCUGCGCUAUUCUGAUGGAAGGAGAAGUUGUUAUGACUUAGGAACUCUAGGUUAACCAUCAUAUGCCCCAUAUUUAGAGUAGCAGUUACAAAUGGAGUAGCAACUGCAGAAUGGAAGCAUAAGGCAAAUAUCUUGAGAUUAGAGAUGAAGAAUACUUUCUCAUUUUCCACUCUACUUCUAUUUUUUGUUUCUAAUCUCUUCAUACAUUUUAGGUCUAUGAGAUGUCCCUGAAUCUUACAAUAAGUGAACCCUUUUUGUUUUAUGAUUCCUGUCACUUGUAACCAAAUAUAGCAGUAAAUAUCCUUGAAACCACUGGCUAGCAGAGAAUCAGAAAAUGAAGAUGAUAUAAGCUAAUAUGUUUAUUUCAAAAGAAUGUUUACAUUAACACAAAUUUCCAUUAACAAAAAAGAUAAUUUUUAUGUGACAUAGGAAAAGAGCCAAGAAAACAUGGAAAGACAUCCUAAGAUGCUACUCAACCACUAAGAAAGAUAAAAUUCCAGUGCUUAAUAUGGUAGAGUGAAACCUACUAAUAAACCUUCUUAAAAUUGGUUAGAGAGGGAGUUCCCAUCGUGGCCCAGUGGUUAACGAAUCCGACUAAGAACCAUGAGGUUGCGGGUUCAAUCCCUGGCCUUGCUCAGUGGGUUAAGGAUCCCAUGUUGCCGUGAGCUGUGGUGUAGGUCACAGAUGUGGCUCAGAUCCCGCACUGUUGUGGCUCUGGCGUAGGCCAGUGGCUACAGCUCUGAUUAGACCCCUAGCCUGGGAACCUCCACAUGACGCAUGAGUGGCCCUAGAAAGGGCAAAUAAAUAAAUAAAUAAAUAAAUUGGUUAGAGAAUAUAAACAUCCAAUAAAUAUAGAGCUAAAAUCAAGUUUUUGUUUCUUAAAAGCAGCAAAAUGAUAAUUCUUCAAGGAAGACAAAUAUCAAGAAAAUUGAAUUCAUAUUUUUCACUAAAUAUAUAAUAUAGAUUAAAAGCAAAAUAGCAUCAAAAAGUUAUUGUCUUGGAGAGUCCUAGGAUCAAACUGCUUCUAACUGGGCAUACAUCAAUAUACUUUCAAAAUUUGGGCUAACUCACUGUAUCAUGUUUAUCAAGGUAUCAUUUAUAGUAGCAUGCUUAUUAAAGAUAGCUUUUGGAAAGAAGGGAAAUUUUCAGGCAUAAUGAUUUUAAUUACUGCACAGUAGAUUCUUUGUUGGAAUACUUCAAUUUAUGACAAUCUCAAAAGCCUUUGGGGGGUUUGAGAAUUAAUGAUAAUAAUUUUGGUUAGGUACCCAAAUUACAUAUUGAAAAAUUAUUUGAAGGUCUAUUACUAUAAUUUUGAACAAAAUGUCAUGUAAAUAUAUGAGAAGAGAUGCUGGCCAAAUUCAAGAAAAGAUUUGUUAGGAAAGCCACCCUGACAAUCAUACCUUUUCAACUGCUUUCUUGAAUGUGCGAUUCUCCAAAAAUGUUCAUUAUAUCUGCAGUAGAUGUGCCCACCAAGAUAAUUAUGAACAGAUUAAUUUAAUGUGUUCUUUCAACUUUUUAAAAAGUAUCAAGUGUCUACAAUGUGCCCAGCAAGUGUUCAAGGUACCAGGGUUGUAGAAAUAAACAAAAGACAUCAAAUCCUUGCUCUCAGGAAAGAGGGCACGGGGAGCAGAUGUGCCAGAAAAGGGUGAUAAUCAAUACAAAUAAAUUAAUAAAUGAAGUCAGCUAAUGGUAUAAACUAUGAAGAAAACAAGGCAAAGUAAAACAGCAGAUAGAGAGUGAUUUGGGGAAAAGAUGCUAUUUUUCACUAUAGUGGUCAGGAAAGCCCUUGGUGAUGUGGUAACAUUUGAACAGAGAUGUGAGAGGUGAGUAAACAAAUCAUGUGACUGUCUGGAAGAAAACAAUGUCAGGCAGAGUGAACAGCAAACAUACAAGCCCUGAGGUGGAAACAUUCCUGUCAUGCUUUAGGAGUAGUAAAGGCAAACAUGGCUGUGGUUGAGCACACAGAGGGGAGGGUGAAGAAAAUUAGAUCAGAGAAGUAUGGGAGGAGCAAAUUUUGGUGGUUCUAAAUUUGUGUGAAAAUUCUAUGAUACUUUCUCUUUAAAUGGGAGCCAGACUUAGUGACUUGGUUCUGAUGAAUAGAAUGUCACAAAAGGGAUGUUAAUGUGACUUCUAAGACUAGGUCAUAAAAAGGACAGGUAGUGUCUGCCCUCCCUCAGAUCAUUCAUUCUGUAGUGUUGUGAAGACACUCAAGCAGUCUAAAGAGAAGCACAUACCUGGGAGGAACAGAGGCCUCCCACCAAGAACCAGCCUAAGAGCAUGAGAGUGAACCUUCUCAGAAGCAGACCCUCCAUCCUCAGUCAAGCCCUCAGAUGACUGUGGCCCCAUUUAACAUCUUUCAACAUCUUAGCUACAACCUCAAGAAAGGUUCCAAACCACAAUCAAUUAACUAAAAUGCUCUCAAUUUCCUGAUCUACAGAAACACUGAGAGAUAAUAAAUUUUUAUUUUUUUCUCUGAAUCCAUUAAGUUUGGAGAUAAUUUGUUAUGUAACAAUAAAAAAUGAUACAUAGAUAAUAUAAGCUCUAGUAAGCACUAGUAAGGACUGUCAUUUUUAUUCUAAAUGGGAUGGAGGCAAUGGACUAUCCAACACAAGAAAGGUACAUAAUCUGACUUUAAAAAAAAAAUCACUCUGACUGCUCUGUGAAUAUACUAUAGAGGGAAAUGGUGGAAGGUGAUAAUUACCAGAGUCAAGAUUAAGGAAUGUGCUGAUUUACAUUAGAGCAAUGGAGAGGCAUUUAAAUUUCAGAUCAAUUUGAAAGUAGAGAGCUGAUAGAAUUUGUUAAUGUAGUAUGUGAAACAAAAAAAAAUGAGUCAUAUGAUUCCUAGAUUUGGGGCUUGAGCAU